GUUUACAGCCAUACCACCCUGAACGCUCCCGAUCUUGUCUGAUCUCGGAAGCUAAGCAGGGUCGGACCUGGCUAGUACUUGGAAAGGAGAAGACAUUAAAAUUGUAUCCU
ensembl:rRNA 5S_rRNA 5S ribosomal RNA